CAGGGCCUACUAGGAAACAAAGCAGAAUGUUCCAGGUUCCAAGUUCCAAGCCAGGAGUUGUAGAAAAGAAUGCCACUUUCUGCUGGCUGAAGAAGGAUGAGAAAGUGAGGGACACAGAUAGAGCCACAUAAAGAACUGCAGAAAGGAUUCAUGGAAGGCAAAGGAGCCAGGAUGAGUGUGUUAGCUCUUACUUUAGGAAGAAAAAUCCAGUGAAGAGUUUUUAUCAUGGGGCCCAUGUCAUACUGUAGUAGAAAUUGGUCUGGCUCUGGCGAAGAGAGUCAAUCAGAAGAUCAGGCUGAAUAGAAUGACUUCAUAAAGUGGCGACAGUGGCAAUCUAGGUGAGGAAAGCUCUGGAUUAAGAUAGGAAAGGGACAAUGGAGCUGGAGUAGGUCUUACCACCCUGAUGUGAUGGAGUUAGUUACUUAGAAUUCUUUCACUGAGUCAUGGUCUCCAUGGAGCUUCAGAACCUAGUGCAUGCAGGGCACAUGUGUCCCGAUUCUGAAUUCAGGCUCAGAUUCAUUUAUUUUGACUGUAAAAUUCUCCUCAUCAGUGCUCACAAAGAGAGAUGACAGUAACUGCCUUCAGAGUCCACACUGCAAGAAGACGAAGCAGUGGCAUGCAAAGCUAAUCCCAUUGGCCCCUACAUGCAGAAACUCAACAGGAAAUCCCAAGACAAAGCAUUAAGCCCUUGGCAGACUUAAUUUUCUCUGAUACAGCAAUGCCGAAGGCCAAGUGAUGAAAUCUUCAGCAAGAAUAUGUCAUCAUAUUGUUUCUGGCCUCUGUGGGAAACCAGCAAGCUGGAUUCAUCAACGGCCACCUGUAUCCUAAUGUGCGAAAGGUCCAAAAGGAGCAGUGGGUUCCUUGAAUGACAUAAUCUCAUGAAGCUCAAGCCAGCCUUCCUUCAACUUGUUAUGCACCCUUCACUGUCUCUGAACUCUUGAUGCUCCUGUUUCUAUGUCCCAAGAGCAGGGGACAACAGGCACAUGUUACUAUAACCCCCAAAGGUUUUGUAUAGUGAAAUCUUAAUGAAAAUAAAGCCAUAGUUGGUUUCCAGGCAU
rnacentral:lncRNA from 1 species